rnacentral:tRNA from 2 species
GGUUUCUUUAGCUUAUCUGGUAAAGCGCCGGUCUGUGGAACCGGAGAACAGGGUUCGAUCCCCGGAGAAACCC